ensembl:piRNA 21ur-3828 ncRNA
UGAAAAUUUGAGUCUAACAUC